AGCGAACGCUGGCGGCAGGCCUAAUACAUGCAAGUCGAACGGUCUCUUCGGAGGCAGUGGCGGACGGGUGAGUAACGCGUGGGAACGUGCCCUUUGGUACGGAACAACUGAGGGAAACUUCAGCUAAUACCGUAUGUGCCCUUCGGGGGAAAGAUUUAUCGCCAUUGGAGCGGCCCGCGUUGGAUUAGCUAGUUGGUGGGGUAAUGGCCCACCAAGGCGACGAUCCAUAGCUGGUCUGAGAGGAUGAUCAGCCACACUGGGACUGAGACACGGGCCCAGACUCCUACGGGAGGCAGCAGUAGGGAAUCUUGCGCAAUGGGCGAAAGCCUGACGCAGCCAUGCCGCGUGAAUGAUGAAGGUCUUAGGAUGUAAAAUUCUUUCACCGGGGACGAUAAUGACGGUACCCGGAGAAGAAGCCCCGGCUAACUUCGUGCCAGCAGCCGCGGUAAU
rnacentral:rRNA from 1 species